GGCGGAGCGGGCCAUGGCAGUGGGUGGCGGGAGGGUGUAGUGCGACUGGGGAGGUGACUGAGAGAGCCGGGGAUGGGGACACUAGGACGAGGCGGUCACGGUGGCUUGGGCUGUUGACCGCGUACCCGGAGCCGGCGGUGGCGGCGGCGGAGCUCGGGGCAGUGAAUCUUCCAAUCUGAAAAAGUCUUCCAAGAAAAUUUCAGUUUUAAAAAUAAGUAAUGUCACCCAUUUUCCUAAAAGAUUGAAAUGGGAGCUAUCAUUUUGAGGUGAGUACCCAAUUUUACAUUUUUAAUCUCUUACAUUAGUUUUCUAGAAGUUAAAUAUGGAAGGAAAAUGUGAAUAUUGGUUAGAUUCUGAAUGUUUUAGUAAAUCUCUGAGGUGUUGGAAAUCCUAGGAUUUGCUUUAAGACAGUCUGAUAUUUAGGGUUAUGUAACACAGAGUUAAGAACAGAGCUUCAUGAAGGAAAAAGGGCAGGGGUCGAAAGUAGUAGUGGAAAACUUUUUAAGGAGGUUAACUGACAACUGAAGAAGCUUUUGGUU
rnacentral:lncRNA from 1 species